rnacentral:rRNA from 1 species
UAGGGAAUCUUCGGCAAUGGACGAAAGUCUGACCGAGCAACGCCGCGUGAGUGAAGAAGGUUUUCGGAUCGUAAAACUCUGUUGUUAGAGAAGAACAAGGACGUUAGUAACUGAACGUCCCCUGACGGUAUCUAACCAGAAAGCCACGGCUAACUACGUGCCAGCAGCCGCGGUAAUACGUAGGUGGCAAGCGUUGUCCGGCUUUAUUGGGCGUAAAGCGAGCGCAGGCGGUUUCUUAAGUCUGAUGUGAAAGCCCCCGGCUCAACCGGGGAGGGUGAUUGUAAUCUGGGAGACUUGAGUGAAGAAGAGGAGAGUGGAAUUCCAUGUGUAGCGGUGAUAUGCGUGGAGAUAUGGAGGAACACCAGUGGCGAAGGCGGCUCUAUGGUCUGUAACUGACGCUGAGGCUCGAAAGCGUGGGGAGCAAACAGG